rnacentral:lncRNA from 1 species
AGGACAGCAGCUGUUGGGUUAAUUAUUCAUCUUCAUUAAUUCACAGGGCUGAAGUGUGAUUUUCUAUGAUUCUGCCGACCUAAUAUCUGCUGGUGACUUUAGGGGGCUAUUUGGGGAGAACAGAGAUAGAAGUGGACCUUGAGGUUUUUUUGUUUUUUAACUGGAAGUUAAGAGGACUUGGAUGUAGAAUAAAGUAGUUUGAUUCUGGUCACAGCACUAGUUAGAAUGAGGCGUCUAGAAACCUUGUCUCAAGGAAUAGGGAAAGAAUAAAUCUGAGUGCUUGAUUGGAUUUAAUCUUAACCAGAUUCCAAGUAUUAUACUUGUUCCUUAUGAACUGGAGAUGGCCACCCAGACCUCACUUAAGAGUUUACAAUUCAAUCAUGAAGACUAGAUUUACAGAACAACAAGCAUGAAAUAUUUUAUGCUCAGUAGUACUUGGCACUGCUAGAUGCCUGCUGGGAAUAGUGAGUGGAAGAGGCCACCUUAAAGCAUCUUACCUUCCAGGGAAACCAUAAGCAGAUACAUAAAAGGAUUUUAACACUGCGUCUAUCAGCUGAUUAGCUAUAAAAGUGGAAAGGGUCCAAGCAUGUGGAGAAUAGUAGAAUUUGAAAAAUGGGUUGUUUUGGGGAGAAAAAUAAGCCUUGUUUGGGAAUUCAGUCAUUUCUAGCCUAUAAAGUAAUGCCCAAAUUGGUAUCUUCCCAAAUCUUUGUGUCUUGUACAAGAUAACGGAACUUUUUGGGAAUAUUUAAUCCAGGAAAAGAUCAAUGAGUUAAUCUUUUAUCUGAAAGCAUUAGUUUUUAUAACUACUCAAUUCCUUCUUGGCCCCCUCUUGCCAUGUUUCCCCUAAGUAAUGCCAUAAUCCGUUCAGAAUGAGGGGAGGAAAGCUGCCCUUGUAAAUUCCUCCCUUUCCUCCAUUUUGUCCGUGUGUUUUGUUCUGAAUUUGAUAGCCCCUCUUCAAUUUUACAGACCUUCGCUUUUUUAUUCUUGUUCUUUUCCUAAAAAGAAAAGUCUGGGAGGAACUAUUAAUACCUUCAGUUAAACUGAAAAAAGGGUUUUAAAUAUGCUUCCACACACGUAGAGUUUGACUCUGGGACAUGCAGUCAAAUGUUGAUUAUGUAGUGAUGCUAGACUGGGACUGAAGAUAGGGAUAUCUGGGACUCAUCUGCUUAGUGGAAGGGAAAGGAAAAUAAGCAUUAAAUUUUUUUUCUCCUUUUUUUAUUUUCCAAUUACACAUGGAAAGUUUUCA